ACAAUUCAGGGAAUGGGUGAGUAACUUAAGAUUUCAAUUUUACCCUCACCAUUAUCAUUUCUUUCUCACGUCUGAGACCUUUUCCCUCUCUUCUUCCUUCCAUUGUAAUCAUCAACAAAUUACCAACUUAUCAAUUUAAAUUUUUUUAAUCCCAUUUCCUCCCAACCCUGUCUCCCUUUGACAAACCGUAACAAGGCCUUCAAUCUCAGAACCGCUUUUCUAACUCCAAAUGCCCUCAACAAGGCCUUCUCUUGCUUUUGAUUGAGGUGGAAACUUGAGAAGAGAAGCAACCAGAUAGUGGUUUAAUGUGAGGCUUCAACUGUACCUGAGAAGGAGGCCGAAGAGACCUUCAGGGAGAAUUUUGAGUACCAAGCAGAGGUGGGUUCUUUUGCUUUUCCUGGGUUUUGCUCUUCUGUUUCUGCUUUUGGUGGAAUAUUUAGGGAUUUACAUGGUGGUGUUGGAUUGGGCAAUUUAGUGUUGAAUUCUAUUCUGUUUUUCUUGGUGCUGAGAAGGUUGUUGUGUUUACAAAGAGUCCAAAAUCAGACAAGCAAUACGUUGGGAAGUUGUAGCAGACAGUAGCUCCUAUGUGAAUAGGGAGGAAACUAAUCUAGAAAAUCUUCAAGUCCGUGGUACACAGAUUACACUUUAUUUAAGGUCAGAUGACAAGUAUGAAUUCUAAGAUCCCACCAGAAUUCAGAAUUUGGUGAAGAAUUAUUCCCAAUUUGUUUAUUUCCCAAUCUACAUUUAUGGUAAGAUACCAAACCAAACAAGAAAUAUCAGGUAGAAACACACACACACAAAAAGGAAAUCCUGAGUAGGGAAGUUGUCAGUUUCUAAUUCUAUGCAUAAUGCUGUUUACUUUUCUCCUUAUUUAUUGUGUUAUCAUGUUGCAAAGUUCUUAAUUUUAUUUGCUUAUUUUUAGACCAAUAUCUUAUUCUGUUUUGCUUAUAAGUUCCUCCAGCAUAUUUGAAUCCUGAAUUCUAAUAAUAUGGGUGCUUUGGGAGACAGUGGAGAUUUUGUGGCCUGGGAAAGUUGGUUAGAUGAUUUGCUUCAAAGUAAUGGUUGCAAGCUACUAUUUAAUGAAUUUAUUGUUUCUUUGAGUUGUAUUGAAGAUAAUUUUUAGCAUUUCAUUUCUUCUCAAUUAUAUGUAAUGAUAUGUAGAGAUAGGAUUUUUAGUUACCUUUGGAUGUCACAAUUGUCGUCGUCAACAGAUACGAGGUUUAUCAACAUAAUGCUAAUGCGCUCAACAAAAUAUUUCAAAACCAUGCUUGCUUUGCUGACCAAUUUCGAUUGAACAAUCAAGAGUUGAAAUUUACCGGAGAUUAGAAAGCGAUCUGAAGUUGGCAAAGACUCGUCAAACAUUGGAGGAUCAAGCAGAGAUAAAGAGAUUGCGAGAAACUAUCCGAGAAGCGAAUCUGAAGUUGGCCAGGUUAAAGAAGUAAUAACAACUAGAGUAAUUGCUGCUUCUCGUUAUUUCGUUCAAGUAAUAGCAGUCUAAGAAUCUUUUAGUGAUUAAUUGGAAUGUUGAUGAUUUGAUAGUAAUGUAUGCCUUUGUGUGAGGGCUUAUGUUUGAAUAAGGAGAAUGUUAAGAACUCAUGUGGUUUGAUACUUUUGGUAUUUUAAAGUUGUUUUGUGUGGAACUGCAA